rnacentral:lncRNA from 1 species
GACCUCCUAUUUCUUAAAUGCUCAUAACUAAAUCAAAUUGUUUUAAAUAUCAUUCCGGCCAAAAAAAACCCCAUUUGAUGCUCCUGAUGAGGUCCGUGAGGUCCGAGACCCCUGCAUGAACCAGUCAGAUCACCAUGGAACAAGUCGCCCCAGGGCAUGGCUGUCUCCAGCCGCUCUGAGUAGCCAGCGGUGCAGCCAGCUGGUCUCAGAUUUGGGCUGUGAUGAGUCUGGAUGGCAGAAGAACAAGAGGGAUGGGAAAUUGAGGGAGGGCCUCAUUGAAAGGGCUCACUCCAGGAGCCAGAAAACCAGAAGAGCCUAAGGGACCCAGAGCUAGAGUGAGACCAGAGAUGCACAGUCCCCAUGAGGACAAAGAGCCCAGUGAGGAGAAAGGGAGAGGUAAAAGGAUAAAAGAGUCAGAAGGAGUUUCAGAAUCUAAGAGCUCCAAAAAUAAACCUUUCCCUUUGUAUCACUUUUCUCUUUUUACUUUAGUUGCUCUCAACUUGCUGCUUCCUUUUUUUAAAAAUUCUAGCAAUUCUGCAGGAAACCAGAAGUGUGAACCAAACACAGUAACUCUAGGUGUUAUGGCGCUGUCCUGCUCACCCUUCUUUUGGCCUACUGGCUUCAAAGCUGCUCAGCAAAUUCCUUGAUUUGAAAUUACGAUCACAGGUUGGAGUGCUACUUAAAAUAAUUUUGCCAAAUGUUCCAUCUCUCUGUGUUGAUGAAUAUAAUGGAUGACAAUUUAAAGAGCAAAAAAAAAGUAAGUAUUCACUUUGUUGAAGACAAAAAAAAAAAAA